ACGCACGCUGGCGGCGUGCUUCACACAUGCCAGUCGCACGGAAAGGCCCUGCUUUUGUGGGGUGCUCGAGUGGCGAACGGGUGAGUAACACGUGAGUAACCUGCCCUUGACUUUGGGAUAACUUCAGGAAACUGGGGCUAAUACCGGAUAGGAGCUCCUGCUGCAUGGUGGGGGUUGGAAAGUUUCGGCGGUUGGGGAUGGACUCGCGGCUUAUCAGCUUGUUGGUGGGGUAGUGGCUUACCAAGGCUUUGACGGGUAGCCGGCCUGAGAGGGUGACCGGCCACAUUGGGACUGAGGUACGGCCCAGACUCCUACGGGAGGCAGCAGUGGGGAAUAUUGCACAAUGGGCGGAAGCCUGAUGCAGCAACGCCGCGUGCGGGAUGACGGCCUUCGGGUUGUAAACCGCUUUCGCCUGUGACGAAGCGUGAGUGACGGUAAUGGGUAAAGAAGCACCGGCUAACUACGUG
rnacentral:rRNA from 1 species